AUCCCCGGAAUGAGGGGGGUGGGGAAGGAUGCGAUGUGCAAGCACGGAGGGCGGCCCGGGGGUGCGAUACCGCACGCCCGGGGCCAGGACUCUUUACCUUGUCGCUGUAAUCCCUCAGGACCCGCUCGAUAGCCCCUGCUUCGCCGGCCCGGACGAUGUAGAGGGCGCGCUCCUCAUCCAUGGCCGCAGGUGCGGGGGAGCCGCGGCCGCUCUGCGCGCCCAAGCCGCUGCCUCCAGGUGAGAAAAUUGAGGCCCAAGAGGUUAAAUGACUUGCUCAGAUCUUGGACUGAAUCCUUUAACCCAGGGGUCCCCAACCCCAGGGCCAGUACCGGACCGUGGCCUGUUAGGAACUGGGCCGCACAAGAGGAUCGACUUUAUAGAGAAUGCUCCAGUGUUUUGCUCCUUUGCAUUGAUCAGAAAUCCGAUAUUGACAACACAGGCCCUGGAGACAACUACCUCAUCUUUAAAUGGGAAUAAAAACAGCAUUUUGACUUCCAGUUUCUGGUUUUCUGUAUAUAAGAAGCUUUGAAGUCACCACUCCAUCCUAACAAGUAAAAAGCAAAACAAACUGAAAAAUCAACAAUUCUUCUUGGGUUCUUAAGAGAGGGGAGGACACAGAGCAAACUGCUGCCCUCAAGAUUGGAGAGACGGGUAAAUACAGGGAAUCGUGGCUCCCUGGAGCAGAGACUCAGGAGUGGGAACUGCCUCAGGACCCAGUACUGUGGUAGGAACACCUGAAUUGUAAUUGACAAGUUGUGAAGGCUUAAUGCAGACAAGGCUGAGAGUUAAAAAAUAACUCUAGGGAGACCCAAUCAUAGGGGAACCCACACAAUAUUGAGAGAUGUACCUCUAGGAGCUUGACCAGGUUCCCACAGUAAAUAUCAGAGCAAAAGUCCCUCACGCUUCCGGCAGGGGAAGGAGUAAAGGAACCAUUUUGAAAUACGCUGGAGCACUCUGUUCUUCUUAACAAGGCCUGCUUUCAGGAGAAGCUAGUUAACCAGAGCCUAAUCUGCUGGGGUAUUAUCAGAGCCUAACUGACUUGGGAGAAGGGAAAUACCCAACUCCAGUCAGCUCUAGCCUUCCAUGCGGAGAAGGGAAAUAACCCAACACCAGUCCCCUCUAACCUUCCAUGUGAAAGAAGGGAAAUAUCCAAUUCUAGCCAACUUUAGCCAUCCUAUGACAUCUAAGAGGGGAGGGAAAAAAUGGAGAAACACUUGUAGUAAAGUUCACAGUCCAGAGGCAUAGGCUUACUAAAGGAUUGAGACCUAAUCACAGGACAAUAGAUUGCUUCCCCCACCAACAACACGCCUUACCACCAUAUGACUAAAGGUGAUUUACAGCAAUUCCUUUUUUACCUGGCAUAUCAUGUUCGGCCACCAAGAAAGAAUUACAAGGCAUGCUAAAACACAAUUUAAAGAAACAGCAAGGCUCAGAACCAGACAAGGCAAGGAUGUCAGAAUUAUCAGACCAGGAAUUUAAAACAACUGUGAUCAAUUUGCUAAGGGUUCUAAUUGAUAGAUUAGACAGCCUGCAAGAACAGAUGGACCAUGUGAGCAGAGAGAUAGAAAUCCUAAGAAAGAACCAAAAAGAAAUGCUAAAGAUCAAAAACACUGUAACAGAAAUUAAGAGUGACUUUGAUGGAUUUGCAGGUGACUAGACACAGCUGAAGACUCUCUGAGCUUGUGUAGAUAUCAACAGAAACUUCAAAAACUAAAAAGCGAAGAGAACAAAGACUGAAAAACCGAACAGAACAUCCAA
ensembl:lncRNA novel transcript, antisense to POLR3B, RFX4 and RIC8B.